rnacentral:tRNA from 1 species
CGCGGGGUGGAGCAGUCUGGUAGAUCGUCGGGCUCAUAACCCGAAGGUCGCAAGUUCAAAUCUUGUCCCCGCAACCA